GAAGAAGCACAGUGUUGUCGUGCUGAGAAAGUGUGUGUGACAUCCACAGUAACGAGCCAACAAAGUACACCGGUCUUUGAAGCCAAUUUUACAUAGUGGAAACAGUGUUUUUGACGGAGUUUGUGUGAUUGUGUGAAAAUGUGUAAAGUCCAAAUGCUGAGAGCGUUGGUGAAGCAGCGACUAACUGCGGCUGCUGAAGAGAUAUUUGGGCUGUUUGAAAGAACGAUAGCAGAGUACGAGGAGGAACUUUGUCGUUCAAAAGAGGAGAACGAGCGACAACGGAAACUACUGGACGCUGUUUUCAACCCUCAACUUCGGUUACACAGAGCAGAUGUCCAGCAGCUGUCGGUUAUUAAAGAAGAGAUUCCCCCUGAGCAGCAGGAGGAGUGGAGACCCAGUCUGGACCAGGAGGACCCAGAGCCCCCACACAUUAAAGAGGAACAGGAGGACGUCAGGACCAGUCAGGAGGGAGAGCAGCUUCAAGGGUUCACAUUCACUCUUGUCCCUGUGAAGAGUGAAGAUGAUGAUGAUGAAGAGAAACCUCAGUCCUCACAGCUUCCUCAAAGACAAACUGAACAGAUGGAAACAGAUGAUGGAGAGGACCGUGGAGCACCGGAACCAGCCAGAAACUCAGAUCCAGAUGAACAUUCACAACCUGAUACGGAUGAUAAGACUGAAGACUCUUCUGAAUCUGAGACUGAUGAUAGCGACAAUGUUUUUAAAGACACCAGGGAACCUCAGUCAGGUGAUGUUACCAAUAUAAAGCCUUUGAGCUGUUCAGUUUGUAAGAAAUGUUUUUCAAGGAGACAAAGUUUACGUAGACACCUGAGAACUCACACAGGAGAGAAACCGUUUAGCUGCUCAGUGUGCGAUAAAAGCUUUGGACGAAAGAGUCAUCUGCAGUAUCACAUCACGACUCAUACAGGCGUGAAACCAUUCAGGUGCUCAGUGUGUAGUAAAAGCUUCAGUCAAAAGAGUUCUCUGCAGUUACACAUGAGAACUCACACAGGUGAGAAACCAUUCAGCUGCUCAGUGUGCGAUAAAAGCUUUGGACGAAAGAGUCAUCUGCAGUAUCACAUCACGACUCAUACAGGUGUGAAACCAUUGAGGUGUUCAGUGUGUAGUAAAAGCUUCAGUCAAAAGAGUUCUCUGCAGUUACACAUGAGAACUCAUACAGGUGUGAAACCAUUCAGGUGCUCAGUGUGUAGUAAAAGCUUCAGUCAAAAGAGUUAUCUGCAGUUACACAUGAGAACUCACACAGGUGAGAAACCAUUCAGCUGCUCAGUGUGCGAUAAAAGCUUUGCACAAAAGAGUAAUCUGCAGUAUCACAUCAGGACUCAUACAGGUGUGAAACCAUUCAGGUGCUCAGUGUGUAGUAAAAGCUUCAUUAUAAAGGGUAAUCUGCAGAAUCACAUGAUAACUCAUACUGGUGAGAAACCUUUCAGCUGCUCAGUGUGCGAUAAAAGUUUCAGUCAUAAGAGUACUCUGCAGACACAUAUGAGAAGUCACACUGGUGAGAAACCUUUCAGCUGCUCAGUGUGUGAUAAAAGCUUCAGUCAAAAGACUGCUCUGCAGAAACAUAUGAGAAGUCACACUGGUGAGAAACCUUGCAGCUGCUCAGUGUGUGAUAAAAGCUUCAGUCAAAAGAGUGCUUUGCAGACACAUAUGAGAAGUCACACUGGUGAGAAACCAUUCAGCUGCUCAGUGUGCGAUAAAAGCUUUGCACAAAAGAGUAAUCUGCAGUAUCACAUCAGGACUCAUACAGGUGUGAAACCAUUCAGGUGCUCAGUGUGUAGUAAAGGCUUCAGUCAAAAGAGUUAUCUGCAGACACAUAUGAGAACUCAUACUGGUGUGAAACCAUUCAGGUGCUCAGUGUGUAGUAAAAGCUUCAGUCAAAAGAGUUCUCUGCAGUUACACAUGAGAACUCACACAGGUGAGAAACCAUUCAGCUGCUCAGUGUGCGAUAAAAGCUUUGCACAAAAGAGUAAUCUGCAGUAUCACAUCAGGACUCAUACAGGUGUGAAACCAUUCAGGUGCUCAGUGUGUAGUAAAAGCUUCAUUAUAAAGGGUAAUCUGCAGAAUCACAUGAUAACUCAUACUGGUGAGAAACCUUUCAGCUGCUCAGUGUGCGAUAAAAGUUUCAGUCAUAAGAGUGCUCUGCAGACACAUAUGAGAAGUCACACUGGUGAGAAACCUUUCAGCUGCUCAGUGUGCCAACAAAGUUUCAUUAAAAAGAGUUCUCUAGAGGACCACAUGACAACUCACACAUCCAGCUCAGUCUGCAGUUAAAGCUUCUGUAUUAAAAGUACUAUGCAGAGACACAUGAGAACUCACAAGAGAGCAGCAGGAAAUUAAGAAUCCUGUUCAGCUAUUACAGACUAGAAACUAGACAUCAGAGAUGCACCAUGACAUCAGAACAACAGUGUCUGGCGGCUAGGUCUGUAACUAUUCUGAAUCAGAGUGAGUGAUAACAAUGUGACAAUGGAAAACAACUUUCCCCUGCCUGGCGUACAGGAUCACUGGCUAACAACUUAGCAAGAGUUUACCAAUUUCUCCAGGAACCACUACACCACUGAACAUAGUGGGCAUAAAUAGCUGCGCAGUUUAACUGUGUUCAUGACUAAGCACGGGACUGCUUAACUUUUGUAAUUGUAAUGUAUUGAUCUAGUUUUAUUGUUGUGAUUUUGUUAUGGUUUAUGUUAGGCUACUGUGUUACUCAUGUUCUACACUGCUAUGGUGAUCUUAGUUAAAUAUUAUUUUCCACACAGAAACAGUCUUUGUACAACAAACUGUUUUUAACUUGCCACUGUUCAUAUAAGAUCACCUCGGCCUUUAACACAACCACACACAGCAGAGAGAACCUUUAAAACUUUGCUUUGUCUCUGCUGAACAAGCUCAACAUAAUGUGCAACACACACUCUGUUUUUUUAUUUAGUUUAGUGCAUUGUAGUUUGAUCAUAUUGUGUUUAUACUUUAUAUUUUUAAUAAAUGCUAUCAAAUAUACAUGCUGGUUUAUUAAAUAUUCCCCAAAUGUGAAGGAUACCAAACUCUAUGUUGAGCUACAAAUCCUUCAGCUGACUUAAUGUGAACAUGAUGAACUUAGUUAUAGUUUUUGAAUAAAUAAAUUAGUGCUUCAGAUUAAUUGUUUUGUAUAUUCUAUGAGACUGAGUAUCAUUCAGUUAAUGGUUUUCCUUUAAGGGUGGUGUCCUGAGGAACUUCUAAUAUAAUACGUAUAAGGAUAUUGAUUACUGUUAUUUUUUAUUUUCUUUGAUCAUUUUGAUAGCCAGAAUUAAUUGAUUGCUCCUCCAAAGUUUGAUGACCCUUUAAAUAGUUUUAAUUACCACAAUGUGCAGAACUUCUUUUUUUGUUUUUGGUGAAAAUUUUAAAUUCUUUGUCUGUUUAAUCAGUAGAAUGAUCAUUGUUGUAUUUUCUGUACUUUAUUUUGUCUUUGUUUUAUCGAUCACCCUGUGUGGUGUUUGAAUGUGUGGAAUCUACAUUGUUACUAACAGGAAACAUUAUAAAACAUAAUCAUUAAUUUCAGUUUAUGGGUCCAUGUAUCUUAAAGUUUCAGGUUGCCAUCAAUAAACUUUAUUUUCAUAAAAGGA